rnacentral:lncRNA from 1 species
AUGUAUAUAUAAAGAAGCACCAACGAUUGUGGAAGGGCAGAAGUCAUGCAAGAGGCAGCCUAAUUCAGGGAGCAAAAAUUGUAUGAAGGAUAGUGAAUGCCAGAAGAUCUGCAUCGAAACCGAGAAAGCACUACGUGCUACUUGUGAUUAUACAUUCCCAAGGCGCAGGUGUUUUUGCCACUUUCCAUGUUAAUCAACAGAGCAGUUCCAAGACAUUUUUAUGCCCUAUGCCAAAUAAAUAUUACUAGAUGACUUUCUGCGAUGUCGCGGGAUAAAGUCCAUUUCAAUAUUAUUAUAACAAGUUUUCUAUAUAAUUGAAAUUUAUAACAAUUUUGAUAAAUUGAGUUUUUGAUAAAAAUCAAUGAAUCUUUUUGAUAGUUUAAUAAUGUAAGAAUAACGUUAAAUUUUAUUACAAUAUACUAAUUAACAAAGUUAAGGGUCUAAUCAAAAUACAUCUAUGAAUUUAGAUAAUUGGAAGAAGCUUUAGAAUAUAGAUAACUAGGGCCGGCCUGGGCUACGCCCGUGAUUUUUCUAUUAUAUUUACUUUUAGUUCUAUCAUUUUACUCUAUUUCAAUAUUAUGUAUAUAUUUACAUCUAUUAUCAAAAUAUAAAUUACUAAAAAGAAUUUAAAAUUAGACUUUUUAUUUUAUUAAUUUUUGGUCUAGCAACUUAAAAUAUUUUACUACUCAAAAUUUGUUAUUUUAUUAUUGUAAAUUAUAUAUCACGUGAUGUAUAAAAAUAUUAAAAUGAUUUAAUCUUAGUUUAAUCUGAAUAUAUUUAUUACAGCACUUAUUUAAGUUUAGCUAAAUAAAUUUUAAAGUAACGGUCGUUUUAAAUUUUAUUUUUUUGUUAAUUUUUUUUGGCUUGAGACCCGUUAAAUUUAUAACUUUCUUUUGAUUUCUUUCGUUCCUCUCCAUCUAAGUUGAUGUAUUUGCAUUAUAUAUAUAAUUAGUUUGGAUAAUGUCAUAAUUUUAUUUAUAUAACAAUGCUAUUUUCUCAGAAUGGGUUGAUGAUCAAAAUAAUUAUUAACAAAGUAUAAAAUUUUGCAUUGUGGUUAAAAAUUUAUAAUAUAGUUGUCUUUGGAUGUCACAUGCUAAUACAUGAUAUAUAACUGGAGUUUUUUUUCUCAUAUACGAAAUAGGCUUGCAUGAUCAUUAUAUCAUCCAUUUAUUACAAAUGCUUCUUGUUUUUAUGUUUAUUGUCCUCAACCUUGAAGAGCAAAGGUUUUAUUUUUAUGCUUACUCAAGUGUUCUUAAGUAUGUUAAGAAAGUACUUCCUAAUAGCUUAGUCACUCUUGUGUCUUUUGUUUUUUCAUAAACUGUCUGCUCACAUCUCGGCCAUCCAACCUCCAACUUUACAUGAAAUAUGUAUAUAACAUUAAAUAUUUACUAUAGUGGGCAUAUUCAUUCAUGCUAAAAUGAGGAAGGUGACUGACUUCGUCUUGUUUAAAUAUAAUUGUUCUUCCUUUCUUCUCCCACAAUUUAAACCAUGUAAGAGACGAACUAAUAAAGAUUAUAUAACAACCAGAAUCUAAUAAGCCAUGUAUCAAACUAAAAUCAGAAAGAAAAACAAUAAUAAUAUAACUUCUAAUAGCAUACUAAAAAUUUGAUCAUCAUCUUUCUACCUUAUUUUCAAAAGAAUGUAAAAGCUAUCUUCACUCUUGGAGUUGAUGUUUAUGUGCUUCAAGGGAUUGAAGGAUGGCUAGCAGAGCAAGUAGAAAGAGGAAGUGAUGCUCCUGUAGAUACCCUUGAAAAGUCAAAAUCAGUACCUAAGAUUAAACGUUUGCAAGCAAUUAAUAAGGUGUAUGAAUAAUAAGACCUUUGUGGUCAAUGAAGGCUUUAAACAAUUGAACAAUAAUUUUGCAGGAAUAGUUUAUGGAAAUACAAUGAAUUAGAGGUCCAUGGAUUUGCAUAAUGGUCUAAUUCAGCAAGCCCUUAAAACCAUCUAAAAAGCGUUAACAUAAAUCAACUCGGAAAGAAACUUACUGGUUUACAUUGUCAGAGAACUUCUGAUAGUGCGGAUAGCAGUAAUCUACUUCUAGACAACAGGCUCAAUCUCCCUUCUCAUCCCUCUUGUCUCCUCACCUCGCCACAAACCACCGCGUGAACACGGCACCACAAGAAUUUCCGCCACCGCAUCCGUUGUUGUCUUUCUUAACUUGCGUCCCAUCUUGAUCUCUGCUGUGAUGGCUAAAUUUGAAAAUCAUGUUCACAUCACUCUUCUCUAAGCAUUUUCGAUUCAAAGCUUCUGUUCAUCAAAGUAAGAAUUUUGGUGGCGUAUUUGAGAGCUUCUCUAAUGGCAUCGUUUUCAUAACGAAUCCUAUAAUUCUCUUCCUUGAGUGCACAAUUAUCAGCUCUCUUGAGUUGUGCCUGCAAGAAGAAACGAUGGAGAAGCAAAACUAAGGACUACUCUUUGAUUUAUUUUUUUGGAGAAGAGACAAAGCGAGGAAGAGAGAAAGUAAAAAGUUGAAAACCUUUGUCUGUGUUCUUCGGUUCUGAAACCAAAUCUUGAUCUGUCUUGGAGCUAAACCCAAUUAUAUGCUAAGUUGCUCAUCUGGAUGCUGAUAUGCUCUGUAAACAAAACCAUAAGAGAACAGAAAAGAAAGAGAUGGAGAAAACAACUGAGUAGAGAAGAAGAGAGAAUACGAUUCAAGCCAUUGGAGCUGGUGACGUGUGUGGCGGUGGAAACGCCUUUUCUUCAUUGUCUUCUUGUCCAAGAUUGGUGAGCUCACCUCUUCUUCGCAUACAGACCUUCCAAAAGCCGGAGCUGUUUAUAACAACGUCAAUUAGUAAGAGAUAUAGGAGAUACUAAGAGAAGAUGAGUAAGGCGAGGGAUCUCACAUAUAUUUAUACCAAAACCACACCCACUCCCAGAUUCAAACAACGCUUUGAAGACACAUCGUGGAGGUGUGAAUCAAUGGGAUUAAACACAAAGCCAUUAAUCAAACCGUUUCAAGUCGUGAGAAGAACAGCAAAAGUCACAGUCUGGCCAUCACACGUAGAAGAAGACGAACUUGGUUUCUUCACUGCAGCUAGGGUUAGAGGGACAGACUCCUUCUCAUUGGGCCGGAAAACUUACCAAGUCUAAAGCCCAUUCCUACAACAAACCAUCUAAGCCCAUUACGCGUAGAUUAAAUGAAACGCAACACUUUAGACACGUGUCGCAACACCAGAACUCGACUUUACUAGGUGGAUGCUGAUGUGGUACGCCCAAAAAAGAGGAAACAAUAUUAUAUAUAUAUAUUUUGUUUGUCUUAAAGCUACAUAUUCAUUUUCUUAUAAAGAUGAAAAUCAUGUAAACUAAAAUCAAAUAUUAUAUUAUUCAUUAUAACAAACUAUAAAAAUAAACUAAUACAUAACAGAAUAUGAAGCCACAUAUUCUAUAAAAAUAUUAUUUGAAAACUGCCUUAAGCAAAAUAUUAAAUAUAAUUCGGUGCAUAAUUUUUUGAAAAUAUAUUCUUAGAAUUAUUUUCUAAUCUUAUCUCUACUUCUUUUAAUAACUUAUAUAUGUGCUAAAGAUGCAUGUUAUAUUUAUAACUAGAUAUGAGCUCGUGCGUUGCAACGGGUUUUGUUUGAUGUUUUAAUUUAAUAAAGAAAAUAAAAGUUCAGUUUAAAAAAAGUACUAAAUCAUUUUAUUAUACUUUUAAGAUUGUUUUUGAUAUGUUGUGUGGGACUUAUUUUAUAAUUAAGAACUCGUUUUUACACAUAAAUUCCAGUUAAUACUUAUAUUUCAAGAACUCGUUUUUACACAUAAUUCCAGUUAAUAUUUGUAUUUUAUAAUCAUGGUGCAUAGGUGAAUUUUUAUCAACUUUCUAUUUAGUGCUAGAGAAAACACUCAUACCUAUAAAUUUAAACCCAACCCAACUUGAAUUAAGAAAAUGAAAAAAAAAUUGAAAGUUCAAUAAAGCCAAUCGAGUCAAUGACAACAUCAUACACUUUCUUAUGUAAUAGUUUAAUAUUUUAUUAAACUUAUCUAAUGCUUGAUAAUUUUAUUAAAUCAUUAUUUCUUAAUGAUAAAUUUCCAUGAUAACAUUUUAAUUAAAAAUGAAAUAGAAAAAAAUACAUAUAAAAUCAUUUAUGGUGACAAUAAUAAUAAUCUAUUUCUUAUGACCAAACAUGAAAAUAUAUAUAUAAAUGAGUUUGAUUUUCGUAUGAUUAAACAUGUGUAUUAUUUCCGUGAGACCAAACACAUAUAAAUAGCAAUCAUAACGACAUCCUAAUUUUUGAUUUUUUAAUUACAAAAUUAUUUUAUUUUUUUCAUUUUUUGUGAAAUUGUUUUAGCAUACAUUUUUAAAUAUAUUUUAAAAUUUUCUAGAUGUUUUAUUUUUAUUUAUGUUUUUGGGAAAAAUAAAAGGUAAUAAAAUUUAAACUCGUUUAUCAAUAAAAACUAUAAGUUUAUAUUUUAUAAAAUAUUCCUUUUUUAAUUAUGUCUUUGGCAAAAAAGAAAAUUUAGUUAAAAUAUUCAAUUUUUUUAAGAUAAAAAAAGAAAUAAAAAUAAUUGUUAUUAAUGAAAAUAUAUAAUAUAUUUUUCUUUAUCAAGGGUAGCUAUGUAAUAACAAUCCUGACACAUAAGAAAGUGACUUCUCAAAUAAUAUUAUAAAGAUUUGUAAUAAAUUAAAUUAAAUUCUUUCAUCUGUUGAGAUAUAUUAAAACUAUUAGUAGAUUGUCCACUUUGAGUUUAAAAGGCAAAUUCCGCAUAUAUUUAUUUUUGGUUUUCUUUCCAAAAAGCUUUAUACUAAUUAGAGUUAGAUUUCUUUUUAUAUAUUAGACUUUCUUUUGUUUAACUUUUGAUGUGAGACUUAAAUUGAAAUCUUUCAUUAGCGAUAAAAUUAUCUAUCUUAAGGAUGGAAAUACCAUAUGAGUUUCAGCAGCUAAGCUGAGGGUGGAUGAUUGUUUUUAGGAAGUAGUGUCCAAUUACAAACAAUAUUUUAUCUCUUGGUUAGCAUUUUCUCGUCUAUUUUACCUAUUUUAAGUUUAAGAAUUGUCUCUAAUUACCUAAAUCAUAGAUGUGUAUUUCAAUUCUUGUGGUUAAACUUUAUUGUAGGAUGAAAAAUAAAAGACUAAACUAACCAUCGUGUCAUUAUAAAUAGAAAUUCAUCUUAGGCUCAGUUCCUCGUACAAUACACAUAAUAUACCUUCAAACUAAAAAAAAAAAGAAAGGAGAAAAAGUAAAAAAGUAAAAUAUAGCAUGGCUACUUCCAUCAUCACCUUCCUCUUCGUUGUUCUUAUUAUCUUUUCUGCUUUUGGUAAGUAUUUACUUUAUUGUAUACAUGGCAAAUUAUAUUAUUUAUUAAAUUUCAGAUUAUUUGAUAAUCAACCCUGACAUAUUUAUGAAUAUAAUGUAUAUAUAAAGAAGCACCAACGAUUGUGGAAGGGCAGAAGUCAUGCAAGAGGCAGCCUAAUUCAGGGAGAAAAUAUUGUAUGAAGGAUAGUGAAUGCCGGAAGGUUUGCGUCGAAGCCGAGAAAGGUCAGUGAUAAAAUAUUGUAUGAAGGAUAGUGAAUGCCGGAAGAUUUGCGUCGAAACCGAGAAAGCAAUACGUGCUACUUGUGAUUAUACAUUCCCAAGCCGCCGGUGUUUCUGCCACUUUCCAUGUUAAUCAACAG